rnacentral:rRNA from 1 species
UAGUCGUGGUGAAGAUGCCACGUACCCGCGGUAAGACGGAAAGACCCCAUGAACCUUUACUGCAGGCUGAUAUUGGUACUAGACACGUUUUGUGUAGGAUAGGUGGGAGACUUUGAAGCGUGGUCGCUAGAUUGCGUGGAGUCGUCCUUGAAAUACCACCCUGGUAACGUUGAGGUUCUAACUCUGGUCCGUAAUCCGGGUCGAGGACAGUGUAUGGUGGGUAGUUUG